GAUCACUGCUAUUGGGAUUCGACUAAGCCAUGCGAGUCGAGAGGGUUCGGCCCUCGGCUGACGGCUCAGUAACACGUGGAUAAUCUGCCCUUAGGUGGAGGAUAAUCUCGGGAAACUGAGGAUAAUACUCCAUAGAUCUAGGAUGUUGGAAUGCAUCUAGAUUGAAAGCUCCGGCGCCUAAGGAUGAGUCUGCGGGCUAUCAGGUUGUAGUCAGGGUAAAGACCUGACUAGCCUACGACGGAUACGGGUUGUGAGAGCAAUAACCCGGAGACGAUAUCUGAGACACGAUAUCGGGCCCUACGGGGCGCAGCAGGCGCGAAAACUUCACACUGUGCGAAAGCGCGAUGAGGGAAUCCCAAGUGUUUGCUCGUAAGAGUAAACUGUUUCUUUGUUUAAAACGCAGAGAGAGUAAGGGCUGGGUAAGACGGGUGCCAGCCGCCGCGGUAAUACCUGCAGCUCAAGUGGUGAUCAUUAUUAUUGGGCCUAAAACGUCCGUAGCCGGUUUAGUAAAUGCCUGGGUAAAUCGUGUAGCUUAACUAUACGACUUCCGGGUAGACUGCUAAACUUGAGACCGGGUGAGGCUAGAGGUACUCCUGGGGUAGAGGUGAAAUUCUGUAAUCCUAGGGGGACCACCAGUGGCGAAGGCGUCUAGCUAGAACGGGUCUGACGGUGAGGGACGAAGCCCUGGGGCACAAACCGGAUUAGAUACCCGGGUAGUCCAGGGUGUAAACGCUGCUUGCUUGAUGUUAGUUGGGCUCCGAGCCCAACUAGUGUCGGAGAGAAGUUGUUAAGCAAGCUGCCUGGGAAGCACGGUUGCAAGGCUGAAACUUAA
rnacentral:rRNA from 1 species